rnacentral:lncRNA from 1 species
ACUAUGAUGAAACAUCUGUGGAGCAUUUGGCUGACAACGAGCAGGAGGCAUGAGUAUCUGCAUUUCAAGAGAAGAGUUAGGGAUGGGAAUUUAGACUGAAGAGUCACGAACACUAGCAGAGAUGAUCACACACAUGGUGACAGAAGUCUGGAUGUGAAAGCUGGCGUCCUACCUGUGUGGCAAAGAUUGGGUCCAAUUCUGUGACAGCAAGAACAUGCAACCCUCUCAGCUUUUUACAACUGGAGGCCUUUGCACACCCAGAGACACAUCCAGUGGACCUCCUUCAAGUCACAGACCUCCACUCACCCGGAUGCAGGCUUCUACGGGAUCUUCCUGAACCAGAGAGAUGGAACCUGUGUCUCCUGCUGUGGCAGGGAGAUUCUUCACCACUGAACCACCUGGGAAGUCACACAGGGGACAUGCAACUGCGUAUUUCCACCUAUUCUUCUUCAAAACUACAACUUUACUAUAGGCAAUACAACUUUAUUAAAGC